GGCUAACUACGGUGCAGUCGGGGGGGGAAUAGGUAGGGGGCUAGGGUGAGCUGGAAUGAAUGGGCUGAAAGGGUGCGGAGGUGGGUUCUUAAGUCAGAGGUGAAAGGCGACGGCUCAACCGUAGUAAGCCUUUGAAACUGGGAAACUUGAGUGCAGGAGAGGAGAGUGGAAUUCCUAGUGUAGCGGUGAAAUGCGUAGAUAUUAGGAGGAACACCAGUUGCGAAGGCGGCUCUCUGGACUGUAACUGACACUGAGGCACGAAAGCGUGGGGAGCAAACAGGAUUAGAUACCCCAGUAGUC
rnacentral:rRNA from 1 species